GAGUGAAAAAGAACCUGAAACCGUGUACGUACAAGCAGUGGGAGCACAGAGCAAUCUGUGUGACUGCGUACCUUUUGUAUAAUGGGUCAGCGACUUAUAUUCUGUAGCAAGGUUAACCGAAUAGGGGAGCCGAAGGGAAACCGAGUCUUAACUGGGCGUUAAGUUGCAGGGUAUAGACCCGAAACCCGGUGAUCUAGCCAUGGGCAGGUUGAAGGUUGGGUAACACUAACUGGAGGACCGAACCGACUAAUGUUGAAAAAUUAGCGGAUGACUUGUGGCUGGGGGUGAAAGGCCAAUCAAACCGGGAGAUAGCUGGUUCUCCCCGAAAGCUAUUUAGGUAGCGCCUCGUGAAUUCAUCUCCGGGGGUAGAGCACUGUUUCGGCAAGGGGGUCAUCCCGACUUACCAACCCGAUGCAAACUGCGAAUACCGGAGAAUGUUAUCACGGGAGACACACGGCGGGUGCUAACGUCCGUCGUGAAGAGGGAAACAACCCAGACCGCCAGCUAAGGUCCCAAAGUCAUGGUUAAGUGGGAAACGAUGUGGGAAGGCCCAGACAGCCAGGAUGUUGGCUUAGAAGCAGCCAUCAUUUAAAGAAAGCGUAAUAGCUCACUGGUCGAGUCGGCCUGCGCGGAAGAUGUAACGGGGCUAAACCAUG
rnacentral:rRNA from 1 species